rnacentral:rRNA from 1 species
CCUACGGGUGGCUGCAGUGGGGAAUAUUGGACAAUGGGCGCAAGCCUGAUCCAGCCAUGCCGCGUGAGUGAUGAAGGCCCUCGGGUCGUAAAGCUCUGUGGGAGACCACGAAACCACGCUGGCUAAUAUCCAGCGUGCUGACGGUAGUCUCUUAGCAAGCACCGGCUAACUCCGUGCCAGCAGCCGCGGUAAUACGGAGGGUGCAAACGUUGCUCGGAAUCAUUGGGCGUAAAGCGCACGUAGGCGGCCUCGCAAGUCAGAUGUGAAAUCCCUCG